AGUGAACGCUGGCGGCAGGCCUAACACAUGCAAGUCGAGCGGCAGCGCAGCAGUAGCAAUACUGUGGGCGGCGAGCGGCGGACGGGUGAGGAAUACAUCGGAAUCUGCCUUGUUGUGGGGGAUAACGUAGGGAAACUUACGCUAAUACCGCAUAAGACCGUAAGGUGAAAGCGGGGGAUCGAAAGACCUCGCGCGACAAGAUGAGCCGAUGUCGGAUUAGCUAGUUGGCGGGGUAAUGGCCCACCAAGGCGACGAUCCGUAGCUGGUCUGAGAGGAUGAUCAGCCACACUGGAACUGAGACACGGUCCAGACUCCUACGGGAGGCAGCAGUGGGGAAUAUUGGACAAUGGGCGCAAGCCUGAUCCAGCCAUGCCGCGUGGGUGAAGAAGGCCUUCGGGUUGUAAAGCCCUUUUGUUCGGGACGAAAUCGUACGGGUGAAUAUCCCGUGCGGAUGACGGUACCGAAAGAAUAAGCACCGGCUAACUUCGUGC
rnacentral:rRNA from 1 species